GAUGAACGCUGGCGGCGUGCCUAAUACAUGCAAGUCGAGCGAACAGACGAGGAGCUUGCUUCUCUGACGUUAGCGGCGGACGGGUGAGUAACACGUGGAUAACCUACCUAUAAGACUGGGAUAACUUCGGGAAACCGGAGCUAAUACCGGAUAAUAUUUUGAACCGCAUGGUUCAAGAGUGAAAGACGGUUUUGCUGUCACUUAUAGAUGGAUCCGCGCUGCAUUAGCUAGUUGGUAAGGUAACGGCUUACCAAGGCAACGAUGCGUAGCCGACCUGAGAGGGUGAUCGGCCACACUGGAACUGAGACACGGUCCAGACUCCUACGGGAGGCAGCAGUAGGGAAUCUUCCGCAAUGGGCGAAAGCCUGACGGAGCAACGCCGCGUGAGUGAUGAAGGUCUUCGGAUCGUAAAACUCUGUUAUUAGGGAAGAACAAAUGUGUAAGUAACUGUGCACAUCUUGACGGUACCUAAUCAGAAAGCCACGGCUAACUACGUG
rnacentral:rRNA from 1 species